CUGGUUCUUCAUACUGGAACUCUACUCUGUGCUGUGAAUGAUAUGCAGAUUUGGAUCACUCACUUGAGCUGGGCCUGGGGGAGAAACAUAGCGUGUAUGAGGAGCUGAUUAAUUACCAGAAAUCAAAUGCCUUGCAGUCCAGAGCUCUGUGUUGAAAGCAAGCACCAGGACUAGAGGAAUGGUGAGAUCCACAUGCAGGCAUGGAGAGACAGUAACACCUCGGGGAUUAAGUUUCACUGUGGACUGAAACAAAGGAUUUAAGAAUGAUUGUUUAUCCUUGACAAUGUCA
rnacentral:lncRNA from 10 species